AACAAACCGUUGAAAAAGAGUAGUAGACGUUAGACCAAAGUCACAGAGAGCUGCAGGUGGUGGGAUUGCAGUAUGGCGGUAUUCGUUGAAUGGACUUUUGAGGGCAGCCUGAAGCGUAAUACAUAGUAGGGUGAGCCGGGAACCAAACCCGUUAUCAAUGAGGCAUGUAUGAUAGUAUGUGAAAGAGAGGACAAUUCGUCAAUUUGAGUGGUACCGCGAUAAUAUGAUAAUAUUACCGUCUCAAGC
rnacentral:ncRNA from 1 species